rnacentral:rRNA from 1 species
AGUGAACGCUGGCGGUAGGCCUAACACAUGCAAGUCGAACGGCAGCACAGUAAGGGCUUGCUCUUACGGGUGGCGAGUGGCGGACGGGUGAGGAAUACAUCGGAAUCUACUUUUUCGUGGGGGAUAACGUAGGGAAACUUACGCUAAUACCGCAUACGACCUACGGGUGAAAGCAGGGGAUCUUCGGACCUUGCGCGAUUGAAUGAGCCGAUGUCGGAUUAGCUAGUUGGCGGGGUAAAGGCCCACCAAGGCGACGAUCCGUAGCUGGUCUGAGAGGAUGAUCAGCCACACUGGAACUGAGACACGGUCCAGACUCCUACGGGAGGCAGCAGUGGUGAAUAUUGGACAAUGGGCGCAAGCCUGAUCCAGCCAUACCGCGUGGGUGAAGAAGGCCUUCGGGUUGUAAAGCCCUUUUGUUGGGAAAGAAAAGCAGCAGGUUAAUACCCCGCUGUUCUGACGGUACCCAAAGAAUAAGCACCGGCUAACUUCGUG